rnacentral:lncRNA from 1 species
GUUAAGGGGCGUGGCCUAUUUUAAAUGGCGACAGUGUUUGUUGUGUCUUCAGCUUUUUACGUCUUACGUGUCGUCUUUGUGUGUCUUCCUCAACUUUUUUCAAUCGUUAAUAGAUUCAAAAUGGAGGAGCGAAUGGAAGAAGCUGAAAGAGAACUUGACGAACUUGAACACCUUCAUGAGGAACCAGGAAAAAGCAGCAAGAGUGAUGAGAAAGAUUCGUGGUCGUCGUACGUAUCGCACAUUUGUUGCGCGAGUUAACCAUUUUCCACCAAGUGUUGCAGUUAUAUGGCGUAGACCCAACGCUUAUCGCUCAAGUUUUCCGCCAGGUGUUCUAUUACAUUUGUGCGUGCGCAUUAAACAACCUCCUACUGCGUAAAGAAAUGUGUCACUGGUCGAAAGGCAUUCAGAUUCGGUACACAUCUCCCAUCUUGAAAAAUGGCUGCGUGACCAGGAUAUUCAUGGACAGGACACUAUGAGUGCUUGUAUUGUAGAUACCCUGCAGCCUAUUAUCCAAGCCGCAUGGUUGUUACAUUUGUUACAAGCUAGAGAAUCCGACGAUGACGUCAGGCAUAUUUGCACCAUGUGUUCCCGAUUAACCAGCGCUCAGAUCAUCAUGAUUCUUAUUAUGUUCUUAUCGAAGCAUUCCGUUGGUGUGUGUUAAGUAUUGAGGAACGAAAUGUGUUUGGCUGCAAACGUCUCGAAGCUAACUGCGGCCAUUUGUUCUAUGUAAAAUAAGAAGAAAUGAGUUAUCAUUGAUACUAAGUACAGUUUAAUAAGAAAAGAACAAUGAAUUGAUCUGCCAAAUAUUUCUGUUAGUGACCUGCUUUGGACUCACGAUAUUUGCGAAAACAGAGAACUAUAUAUUUUUACUUACAAACGUUAUGUUUGAUGCUUUAAGGAUAUGCCUGCAGCUAUGGAACAAGGUCGAUCUUAAUGUUUUUUUCAUUCCCAUGUUCAUUCAUAAUACUCGAGUGCUCGCACAACGGAUCGCUAUUAAAACUCCUCUGCUUGUGUGAUCACUGUGAUGAAUCUGAUUUGAAUGUGACACAUGGCAUUCUUUUUCAGCUUUUUGUCUUUCACGUUUCUUUGCAGUUUUAGGUGAUUUUUAAGAUUUUUGUAAUAUUUUGAUUUCAGAAUAAAUAUCGUAAAUCUUCUCUUCGUUGUUCGUAGCUCUUAUAAUGCCUCUUAGCAAUAUUACGUGAAGGUGAAACUCAUUUUAAAAUUUUAAAAGAAAAGGGUACCCAAAUCUCCCACCAGAUGCUGUCGAUUAAUUCAUCAACAUAAACAAUGGCCGCUUCCAUUCACGUUGAAUGUUAUUGGUGUGUCUUGAAAAGGUUAUUUAUUUAUCUCCAUUUAUCUCCAUUGUGAAAAACUACGUGUAAAGCGCUUUAGUUCAUCAAAAAGGUGGAUUCAGACCAUCAGUUCAUCAUCGUCUAGUGUACAAUUCAUAUCUUAUAGUAAUUUGUUCAAACGCCGUUUGAUGCUGAACACAUUUCCGUGGACAGGUCAUAUUCUUUAGGAAUGGUUUUUGUGCGAGCGAAACUGGGAAGAAAUUUAAAUUAUACUGCAACUCCUUCCUAUGAAAUGGAUCAACGGACCACAGUUACCAACAACAACAAAGGGAUCAGUUUGCAAAUGUUGUCUAGCUAAGCAGUUUUUCAAGAUCCAUUGAUGGUAAAAAAAUCACUAUUUGUUACUUUCCGGAGAUCACGAGUCGGCCGCAGGUGUCAAUCUACAACGCAGUUUCUUCAUUGAAAUUGUGUGGCCCUUGCACGGAGAUCCUUGAGCCAAUGCUAGCCUUUGUCCAUGACAGAAGAGUGACUUUCACCAACGUUCUGCCACAUCCUCAUCUUCGUGACGUACGCUCAUCCAGCUUCGCUGCUACUCGUGCUGCUACUCUUGCCACUACUCGUGCCACUACUCGUGCUACUAUUCGUGCUACUACUCGUGCUACACAACCCAUCUCGUCUUCAAUGACGAGUUAAACCACUUCAAUGGUCGCUUCCGUCCACCGUGACCCACCUGAAGUCACUCACCACGGGAUUAUGCCCAGGAGAAAACGUGUUGAAAGAGUCGUGCAGCUCACUGCUGUCGUUCAACCAUUUAUUUGUUCAAAAUCAUUGUAUUCUACUGAAUGUGCCAUCAAAAUGAAACAGGAUUCAUCAUAAUGGUCUGCUGUUUGUAUUGGACUUGCUAGAUCGCCAAUCCCAGCCAUGCCCCGAUUUUGAGUGUACACUACUAACUGUUUAAUUAUUUCUAGAUCAUAGACGUCAAGCACAUUGAUAACACAAACUAUAAACAAGAUUUGAUGAGAAGUCAUAUUUUUAAGAAAAUGGACAAGGGCCAUACAGUCAACAAGGUUCCUUGUUUGCUAACCCGUUGGCUGCUACCCUUCAAUCUCCCUGUUUACUUCCUUACACAGGUCCUAUUGAUUUGAGGGUAACUCUUUCACUACUGAUGACAUCAACUGUUGUAAACUGACGAGAGAAUGCUGCAAUUCAAGACUGAUACGUUGUGUAGUUGUUAGAUAAAUGACAAGUGCAUAUCUGGGCUUCCUUCUUUU